rnacentral:lncRNA from 1 species
CCUGGUCAAUAAUGGUACGAGGAAUGUGUGUUUACUAUAAGAUUUAUUUUCUUUUGACUUGGUUGAGAAAAUUCAAUUCAUUGCUCUUCCGGAUUCAUCUAUCAUAGAUAUUCAGGUUUGGUAUAAAACAAGUUUCCCCUAUGAUAAAAGUUUGAGAUGUUUACUAUGAUUUGCUAUGUCGAAUUUUUAAACAGUGGACUUGGUCCACUAAGAUUUUUACAUCAAACUGGA